UGGGUUCUAUUCCCAAACCGUGUAUACAUACCUUUGUUGCUUUGGCAGGCCGCCUUUUAGGCGUCGGUUCCGGCUGACUGCGCCUGCCAGAGGACCCAAACUCGUUUGUUUAGUGAUGUCUGAGUACUAUAUAAUAGUUAAAACUUUCAACAACGGAUCUCUUGGUUCUGGCAUCGAUGAAGAACGCAGCGAAAUGCGAUAAGUAAUGUGAAUUGCAGAAUUCAGUGAAUCAUCGAAUCUUUGAACGCACAUUGCGCCCCUUGGUAUUCCGAGGGGCAUGCCUGUUCGAGCGUCAUUAUAACCACUCAAGCCUCGGCUUGGUCUUGGGGUUCGCGGUCUCGCGUCCCUUAAAAUCAGUGGCGGUGCCGUCUGGCUCUAAGCGUAGUAAUUCUCUCGCUAUAGGGUCUCGGCGGUUGCCUGCCAGAACCCCCCAUUUUUUACGGUUGACCUCGGAUCAGGUAGGGAUACCCGCUGAACUUAAGCAUAUCAAUAAGCGGAGGAAAAGAAACCAACAGGGAUUGCCUCAGUAACGGCGAGUGAAGCGGCAACAGCUCAAAUUUGAAAUCUGGCUCUUUCAGGGUCCGAGUUGUAAUUUGUAGAAGAUGCUUUGGGUGUGGCUCC
rnacentral:rRNA from 1 species